AGUGAACGCUGGCGGUAGGCCUAACACAUGCAAGUCGAACGGCAGCACAGGAGAGCUUGCUCUCUGGGUGGCGAGUGGCGGACGGGUGAGGAAUACAUCGGAAUCUACUCUGUCGUGGGGGAUAACGUAGGGAAACUUACGCUAAUACCGCAUACGACCUACGGGUGAAAGCAGGGGAUCUUCGGACCUUGCGCGAUUGAAUGAGCUGAUGUCGGAUUAGUUAGUUGGCGGGGUAAAGGCCCACCAAGGCGACGAUCCGUAGCUGGUCUGAGGGGAUGAUCAGCCACACUGGAACUGAGACACGGGCCAGACUCCUACGGGAGGCAGCAGUGGGGAAUAUUGGACAAUGGGCGCAAGCCUGAUCCAGCCAUACCGCGUGGGUGAAGAAGGCCUUCGGGUUGUAAAGCCCUUUUGUUGGGAAAGAAAUCCAGCUGGCUAAUACCCGGUUGGGAUGACGGUACCCAAAGAAUAAGCACCGGCUAACUUCGUGCCAGCCGCCGCCGUAA
rnacentral:rRNA from 1 species